rnacentral:rRNA from 1 species
UGGGGAAUUUUGGACAAUGGGCGAAAGCCUGAUCCAGCAAUGCCGCGUGUGUGAAGAAGGCCUUCGGGUUGUAAAGCACUUUUGUCCGGAAAGAAAUCCUUGGCUCUAAUACAGUCGGGGGAUGACGGUACCGGAAGAAUAAGCACCGGCUAACUACGUGCCAGCAGCCGCGGUAAUACGUAGGGUGCAAGCGCUAAUCGGAAUUACUGGGCGUAAAGCGUGCGCAGGCGGUUUGCUAAGACCGAUGUGAAAUCCCCGGGCUCAACCUGGGAACUGCAUUGGUGACUGGCAGGCUAGAGUAUGGCAGAGGGGGGUAGAAUUCCACGUGUAGCAGUGAAAUGCGUAGAGAUGUGGAGGAAUACCGAUGGCGAAGGCAGCCCCCUGGGCCAAUACUGACGCUCAUGCACGAAAGCGUGGGGAGCAAACAGGAUUAGAUACCCUGGUAGUCCACGCCCUAAACGAUGUCAACUAGUUGUUGGGGAUUCAUUUCCUUAGUAACGUAGCUAACGCGUGAAGUUGACCGCCUGGGGAGUACGGUCGCAAGAUUAAAACUUAAAUGAAUUGACGGGGUCAUAGCUGUUUCCU